AUUUGCACAAGAGAGAGAACUCAGCAGAACUAGAAUUAUUUUAACCCUCUGUCUUUUACAGAUGGUAUAUUUGGCUGUUUUGUUAGACAUUA
rnacentral:snoRNA from 1 species